UGCCUUUUCCCUUCCUUUGUUUUCGCCGACUCCUCACCCUUUCCUCCCGAUCUCGCCGAUGGACUCGACCUCGACGCACGCUCGCACCUGAUCGCCGGCGCCUUGUCGCAGACGAGCCUCUGAUUUCCUCAACCCCUCAUCGGAGGUCCCAUCUGUAGAGUCUCCCUUCAACACGUCGCUUCGCACAAGAGCUUCUCGGUUGGGUGAGGGGAUCUGCACUCCGGUGAUGCUGGAGUCGGAUUGCCUGCUCCCGAGCUUAAUUUUUGGUUGAGGACUUGCGCUCCAAGAGGCUGCGUCGUCUUUCCAGGCCUAAAGCUGGGUUUGCUGUCGGGUUUCUCUCCGCCGCUUGUGGUGGUUCCGGGCAGUGAGUGAUUCACGGUAGGGGUUCCGGCCACAAAUUCCAGCAACUGUUCUUCACUCGGAGAUUAGUGGGGACUCACUGUGAAGGCUCGGUCACAACUACAGAUGUGAGUAGCCUUGUAGAAUUGUGGUUGUGCUUCUGAGGUAGCGAGCAGCAUCUUUGUGGUUGU